rnacentral:rRNA from 1 species
AUUGAACGCUGGCGGCAGGCUUAACACAUGCAAGUCGAGCGGAGUGAUGGUGCUUGCACUAUCACUUAGCGGCGGACGGGUGAGUAAUGCUUAGGAAUCUGCCUAUUAGUGGGGGACAACAUCUCGAAAGGGAUGCUAAUACCGCAUACGUCCUACGGGAGAAAGCAGGGGAUCACUUGUGACCUUGCGCUAAUAGAUGAGCCUAAGUCGGAUUAGCUAGUUGGUGGGGUAAAGGCCUACCAAGGCGACGAUCUGUAGCGGGUCUGAGAGGAUGUUCGGCCACAGUGGGACUGGGACACGGCCCAGACUCCUACGGGAGGCAGCAGUGGGGAAUAUUGGACAAUGGGGGGAACCCUGAUCCAGCCAUGCCGCGUGUGUGAAGAAGGCCUUAUGGUUGUAAAGCACUUUAAGCGAGGAGGAGGCUCUUUUGGUUAAUACCCAAGAUGAGUGGACGUUACUCGCAGAAUAAGCACCGGCUAACUCUGUGCCAGCCGCCGCAGUAA